rnacentral:tRNA from 1 species
UGUUCUGUGGCUUAGCUGGUUAAAGCACCGGUCUAGCGAAUACGGAGUCGUAGGUUCAAAUCCCACCAGAACGC